CUUGGCUUACAAUUGGCUCCAGGGGGAAGGAGAGGUCACCAUAACUUUCCAUUUGUCCUUCCUUACAAGUAAUGAAGGAAAGCAUGGCAAAAAUCCAGUUACCAGUCCUGCUCCUUCACUUCAGCUUCUCACCCUGGUCUGUACACUGGGCUGGGACAGGGACAAAUUCUGACCUGAUUCUGGCAUUCUUCAGCUGACAAGGUGUCAGCUCCAAAAGCUAGCUCUUGAUCUCCCAUUCAAGGUUUUUAUGGAUGAGUGUAAAGCUGAAGCAAGCUGCUCUGUGCAGUGGUUAAGGUUUUAAUAGCUCUUAAGUAAUAAAACUAGCAUAACAGCUUCCAAAAAGAGUACCAGGGAAUCAACUCUAAAAGUAAUAAAGGUCUUUACUUUGUUAGAGUGAAUUGCAAAGGGUUUUGUGGCUUGUGGUUGCACUGAGCAGAGGUUCUGGGGACCCUUCGGAUGAAGUUUUUACUGCACAGUUGUGAUUGCAGCCAAAUAGACUUCACAUCUUUGGGAGUCCCCUGCUGAGAAAGGGCAAGCAUGGCUGUGCAUCGUGCUGUUAUGUAGCACAGGGACUUCAGGUUGCUCCUAGGGUUGCAAAGACCCUCCUUUAAGGUGUGAGCAAGUUGAUGGAUAUUACAGGCACAUCUUCAAUGUUUUCUUUUGAAUAUUUUGCUUUUAUCCAGUAUAUAGGCACACUGUGUUCUCCUGGGGGGUGCGGGGAUGUUUGGGAAGAACCCAGCCACUGUUUGUCCAAUCAGCAUCAGCCAGGAGAGAAUGGAGGCUCAAAAAGAUCCCCGACCGUGCUCAGCCUACAGACACAUUAUUGAGAAGAUACAGCAGGUGUGGUUUAGAUGAAAAUCACAGGCCUGUAGGUCCCAGCUUGCCACUGACAUGUGCUCGAUGCUUGGGAGCUGGCAAGGCCACCAAAGGCAGUCUGUGCCUGUCCUUGCUGUGUUCAGCCAUGACAAUGCCCAUGUUGCUGCCUGGUGAUAAUCAAGU
rnacentral:lncRNA from 1 species